UCAGGAGGCAGGGGUGCUCAGUAUAAAGUCACGGGAGGACACGAGGUCCUGCCAGAGACAAACCGGCUGGACGCCCUGCUGCCUGGGCUGGCGGUUCAGGAUCUCAGGAUGUCAGGACUCGGAUAUGUGGGCAAGACCACGUCCAUGCUGUUCCCAUGGCCUCCACGUGUGGCUCAGUGCUGACAGCCUUGGAGAAUAAAGACCAAGUCCAUCAUCCGCAAUGCCUGCAGGAAGCUGUCCUCCCACAUCUCGCUGGAGCCUGGAUUUCUCAAGACGCGUUGACACCCACCCUACGCCUCAGCUGUACCUCUCCACUCACUCUCAGGAAAUGUGCCAGGGAUGGUGCCUGCACCUCCCACUGUUCCUGGCACCUGGGUCACCUUUGCCCUCCCUCUCCUCUGUCAGUGAAAAUUCUUCAAGACCUAUCAGCCGUGGUUAUCAAAAGAUUAGCUCUGAAAUCCAUGAGAUCGUUUCUGUUUUAUAAAUAAGUUCUUAUGGGCACCAUAGGUGAAACUGUCUGGGGGGAGGGAAGA